UUAUGUAAAGUCUAGCCUGCCCAGUGAUAACUGAAUUUAACGGCCGCGGUAGCAUGACCGUGCUAAGGUAGCAUAAUCAUUUGUCCUUUAAUUGAGGACUGGUAUAAACGGCUGCACAAGAAAUUGUCUGUCUCUACUAUAAAAUUUGAAAUUCACAUUUAAGUGAAAAGGCUUAAAUGGAAUAGGGGGACGAUAAGACCCUAUAAAUCUUUACAAUUAGGGCUUUAGUUAUUAGAAAGUAGUUAUGGAUCUAAAUCUAAGGUUUAAAUUGUUUUGUUGGGGCGACAGAAGUAUAAUAAGUAACUGCUUUGGUUUUCAUAUUAAUUGUUUUUAUUAUGGUUAGUUUAAAAGAUCCUCUUUUGGAGAUCACAGACUAAGUUACUUUAGGGAUAACAGCGUAAUCCUUCUUGAGAGUUCAUAUCGAAAGAAGGGUUUGCGACCUCGAUGUUGAAUUAAAGAACCUUUAUGGUGUAGCCGCUAUAAGAGGA
rnacentral:rRNA from 1 species